GGGGAGGGUAGAAAACCUGACAACGGACUUUUAGAAUAGUGGAGACCACCUUCCCCAAGUCCCCACGGAGGGUCAGCGCCUAGACAUGCCCCAGACCCUAUUUUAUAGGCAGGGGAAGCGAUCUCAAAGCGGGAAGAGAUUUGCCUCUAGACACACAAGCAAGACCGUGAAAGCACGGGGCUAUGGAACCAGAUAGACCUCGGUUCGAAUCCUGACUCCACUAUUUUCUGGUUAUGACCCUGAGCCUCAGUUUCCAUACCUGGAAAGUGGGGGCUCCUGUCGUGUCUACCUCUUUCACUCAUUUAAAAAUGUUUACUGAAUGCCUACUGGGUUCCAGGCCCUGCUCGAGGUGCUGGAGUUUCAGUAGUUUGUUCUCACUGAUCUCGCGAUUUGUGGAGAAGGAAGAUUAGCCCUGAGCUAACAUCUGCUGUCAAUCCUCCUCUUUUUGCUGAGGAAGACUGGCCCUCAGCUGACAUCCAUGCCCAUCUUCCUCCACUUUAUACGUGGGACGCCUGCCACAGCAUGGCUUGCCAAGCGGUGCCACGUCCGCACCCGGGAUCUGAACUGGCGAAUCCCGGGCCGCCGAAGCAGAACGUGCAAACCUAACCACUGCACCACCAGGCCGGCCCCAGACAAGUGCUUUUGCAGGGAGAUGUCAAGGCCUGGAAGACAAGAGUGGAGAGAGGGCGGCUCCACCAGGAGGGAGGGGACAGGACCCACGGUCUCCCUUCAUCUCUUCUCUGCCUCUAGGUUUCCUGCUCCAGGCCACUUUUCUCUCUCAUCUCUGUCUGUCCGUAUGUCUCUGUAUGGAAACUGGGCCCUUGAUCCAUCACUUAUGAGCUCUGUCACCCUGAGCAAGUUACUCCCCCUCUCUGAGCCUCCGUUUCUUCUUCUGGAAAAUGGGGAUGAGGAUACCUCUGCUGCAGGUCUUUUAGGAGGAUUAAGUGAGAUGCAGACACAUAAAAUGCCCGAGAUAUGGGACCUAUUAUUGUUAUUCUCAUUAUUACUGUACUAUUACUUCUGAUCUUGGACUCCGUUUUUCUCGGAGCCUCUGUUUUCCUCUUUCUGACUCUUCCUUUCUUUGUGUUUCUCUUUCUGCCUCUCCUUCUGUCCAUCUAGCUCCCUAUUUGGGUCUAUGCCUGGGCUGGGAGCCCCAUGAGGGCCGGGCAAGGGCCAGCCACAUCCCCAGCAUUGCCAAGUCCAGGGCCUGAUACAUCACCAGUACCUAAUAAAAUAAGUUGAACCUUGCUCUGUGCCAAACCAGCGUUGGGUGAUGCUGGGACCCAGCAGUGACAGAGACAGCCCCAGCCCUGUCUUCACAGCGUUCACAGUCCAGGAGAGGAAAUCAUUGUUUGUUGAAUGAAUGAAUGAGCUAACUUUGAGGUGGGCUUGGAAGACUCGACAAAAAUUGGGUGGAGGCACUGGAGGUGGGGAAAACUGCCGGAACCAAGGUUGAGGGGCUGGGAAGAGUUUAAAGAGGUAGGAGGUCAUGGAGAGAAGGCAAGAGAGCUCAGCAGAGGCCUUGAAGGCCGUGGAGAGGAGCCUGAGCUUUCUCCUGAGGGCACUAGGGAGCCAUGGCAGGUUCCGAGCUGGGGAGGGACAGGGUCAGGUUUAUGCUUUAGUGUGACUGCUCUGGCUGCCUGGCUGCCCCAUUGUGUGGGCAGGUGAGUGGAAGAGAGAGGAGCGGGAUUGGGGCAGGAGACCUGGGAGAGAAGAGUCCUGGACCAGUGCAGGAGCUGGGGGAAGAGGAAAGAGGAGCCAGAUUCUAGAAACCUGGAGGAAAAUGCUCAGGCCCCCCUGCUGUCCUUGACGCCUGGAAAGGGGCUUCAGGACUCGACCACCACCACCAGGGGGCAGCCCGGGCUACAGGUUCGAGUCCUCUCAGGGCGGGGAGGUUUGCACUCCGAUUUGGAUGUGGGGGGAGGUUGCAGCUGUCUGUGGGGCUGCGACUCAGAGCCUCUAUGCUCUCCUGCCCCCCAUCCUGGCCUCUCGGGCCCCUGGAGCCCCCACCCCACCAGCAGGAGAUUAUGUCAACACAGCCCGCUGCUUCUGGCGCUGCUUCUGGCCAGGACAAUAUUUGCCCUUAGGAUCUGGG
rnacentral:lncRNA from 1 species